rnacentral:rRNA from 1 species
CCUACUGGAGGCAGCAGUGGGGAAUUUUGGACAAUGGGCGAAAGCCUGAUCCAGCAAUGCCGCGUGCAGGAGGAAGGCCUUCGGGUUGUAAACUGCUUUUGUACGGAACGAAACGGUCCUUUUUAAUACAAGGGGCUAAUGACGGUACCGUAAGAAUAAGCACCGGCUAACUACGUGCCAGCAGCCGCGGUAAUACGUAGGGUGCGAGCGUUAAUCGGAAUUACUGGGCGUAAAGCGUGCGCAGGCGGUUAUAUAAGACAGUUGUGAAAUCCCCGGGCUCAACCUGGGAAUUGCAUCUGUGACUGUAUAGCUAGAGUACGGUAGAGGGGGAUGGAAUUCCGCGUGUAGCAGUGAAAUGCGUAGAUAUGCGGAGGAACACCGAUGGCGAAGGCAAUCCCCUGGACCUGUACUGACGCUCAUGCACGAAAGCGUGGGGAGCAAACAGGAUUAGAUACCCUGGUAGUCCACGCCCUAAACGAUGUCAACUGGUUGUUGGGUGCAUUAGUACUCAGUAACGAAGCUAACGCGUGAAGUUGACCGCCUGGGGAGUACGGCCGCAAGGUUGAAACGUCAAAGGAAUUGGAGNGNGAGAGNGCGAGACGACGACGAGGAGAGG